rnacentral:rRNA from 1 species
GAUGAACGCUGGCGGCGUGCCUAAUACAUGCAAGUCGAGCGAACGGACGAGAAGCUUGCUUCUCUGAUGUUAGCGGCGGACGGGUGAGUAACACGUGGAUAACCUACCUAUAAGACUGGGAUAACUUCGGGAAACCGGAGCUAAUACCGGAUAAUAUUUUGAACCGCAUGGUUCAAAAGUGAAAGACGGUCUUGCUGUCACUUAUAGAUGGAUCCGCGCUGCAUUAGCUAGUUGGUAAGGUAACGGCUUACCAAGGCAACGAUGCAUAGCCGACCUGAGAGGGUGAUCGGCCACACUGGAACUGAGACACGGUCCAGGCUCCUACGGGAGGCAGCAGUAGGGAAUCUUCCGCAAUGGGCGAAAGCCUGACGGAGCAGCGCCGCGUGAGUGAUGAAGGUCUUCGGAUCGUAAAACUCUGCUAUUAGGGAAGAACAUAUGUGUAAGUAACUGUGCACAUCGUGACGGUACCUAAUCAGAAAGCCACGGCUAACUACGUG